rnacentral:rRNA from 1 species
ACUGAUUAGAAGCUUGCUUCUAUGACGUUAGCGGCGGACGGGUGAGUAACACGUGGGCAACCUGCCUGUAAGACUGGGAUAACUUCGGGAAACCGAAGCUAAUACCGGAUAGGAUCUUCUCCUUCAUGGGAGAUGAUUGAAAGAUGGUUUCGGCUAUCACUUACAGAUGGGCCCGCGGUGCAUUAGCUAGUUGGUGAGGUAACGGCUCACCAAGGCAACGAUGCAUAGCCGACCUGAGAGGGUGAUCGGCCACACUGGGACUGAGACACGGCCCAGACUCCUACGGGAGGCAGCAGUAGGGAAUCUUCCGCAUGGACGAAAGUCUGACGGAGCAACGCCGCGUGAGUGAUGAAGGCUUUCGGGUCGUAAAACUCUGUUGUUAGGGAARAACAAGUACAARARUAACUGCUYGUACCUUGACGGUACCUAACCARAAGCMCGGCUAACUACGUGCCRCASCGCGGUAWACGUAGUGGCAAGCGUUAUCCGGAWUWUUGGSGUAAG